UCCCUGGUAGCUCAGUGGUAAAGAACCAGCCUUCAAAGCAGGGGAUGCAGGUUUGAUCCCUGGUCCAGGAA
rnacentral:tRNA from 1 species